CUGGCAUUUUACGUUUGAAUUUUAUAAAACUAUAUUAUUCCAAUUUUUAAAUUAAAUUAAAAGUCGCGAUAUAAUUUGGAAGCACAAAAAUCAAAUUUUAACCAACAAAAAUACGUUAACUUGAAAGCCCGCCCCGUUUGAUUAAAAUUCAUUGGUUAGAGAGAGAGAGAGAAGUAACUUGAGAUUGUUAGAAAUCUUUCACGGACAAGUUUCAGAAAUGCUACCAUCUGUCCCUUCAUUGGUCUCAGCAUUAUCUAUAGUGGGGUGGAAAAGUAGUAGCUAUUGGAGCGGUACUUCAAUAUUCGAAACCUGUUUGUGAAAAGUCUUUUUAACGUUCCCGUUCUACUCUAAAAACAGUCAGUAUAACUUGGCAAGUACACGUAGAAUACUGCUUUCUAAACCUACAUUUAUUUAGUUUCUACAUCUCCUAUAUUUAUGACAAAAGGUUCUCGAACCUGAAAACUAGCCGAGCCUAACGGUCUCAGAGGAGACAUCUAUCAGCAGAACAGAGAACGAAGAGAAAGAGAGAGAGAAAGCAGCGACUCCAAGCGGAACAAACGUGCGCGCGCAAAAAAGAUAAAAAAAAAAAAAGUCGGCUCUCUGCCCCUUUGCUAGUAGCAACGUGUGCCGACAGCGCCAUGUUGCGCCGUUAAACGUCUUUACUUCCCCCCGACUCACGAAAAGCGUUGGAGCCUUGCAAACGAACACCGCAGGGCUAUGCUAGUCGAUCCAGCCAUCCAGCCAUCGCAGGUCCUAGAAAACGAGCGCCGGGUCCUGAUGUAAAGCCCCAUUACUGAUGACAUGACUGCACCGUGCCGGCUGCCACGCUAUAUAGGAUGGUACGGCCGAAGGUUUGCCAGCCACUCGCCUUGCGGGACCGUUCGGGAAACUCGUAGUAGCUGGUCUCGGUUAGUCAGAAAGAAGUCAGGGCACACCGCACUGCAGCAGUUCGUUUCGAAGGUCGCUCGCUCGGCGCCAUCCGUUGGUUAUCUUCUUUCCGGGCGGUGCCUGUCUUUACUUUUAUAUUACAGUUGAUAACAUUUUUCAGGUGAGUUCAUUCUACUUCCGAAAUUUCCUCUGGUCCACGUUGACAUCCCGUGAUUUAUAUCGUUUAUUUUUUAAAUGUUUUUCCACUCCCUACUUUUGUAUAUGAUGUAUAUAUUAUUUUUUUG
rnacentral:lncRNA from 1 species